rnacentral:rRNA from 1 species
UACAGAGGGUGCAAGCGUUAAUCGGAAUUACUGGGCGUAAAGCGCACGUAGGUGGUCGUGACAGUCAGAUGUGAAAUCCCCGGGCUUAACCUGGGAACUGCAUUUGAAACUACAUGACUAGAGUAGAGUAGAGGAAGGCGGAAUUUCCGGUGUAGCAGUGAAAUGCGUAGAGAUCGGAAGGAACACCAGUGGCGAAGGCGGCUUUCUGGAUUCAUACUGACACUGAGGUGCGAAAGCGUGGGGAGCAAACAGG